GGCGUGCCUAACACAUGCAAGUCGAACGAGAAAGUGGAGCAAUCCAUGAGUAAAGUGGCGCACGGGUGAGUAACACGUGACUAACCUACCCUUGAGUGGGGGAUAACCUAGAGAAAUCUGGGCUAAUACCGCAUAAUACCUACGGGUCAAAGGAGCAAUUCGCUUAAGGAGGGGGUCGCGGUCGAUUAGUUAGUUGGCGGGGUAAUGGCCCACCAAGACGAUGAUCGAUAUCCGGCCUGAGAGGGCGCACGGACACACUGGAACUGAAACACGGUCCAGACUCCUACGGGAGGCAGCAGUGGGGAAUUUUGCGCAAUGGGGGAAACCCUGACGCAGCAACGCCGCGUGGAGGAUGAAGUACUUCGGUACGUAAACUCCUUUCGAUCGGGACGAUUAUGACGGUACCGAGAGAAGAAGCCCCGGCUAACUUCGUGCCAGCAGCCGCGGUAAUACGAGGGGGGCGAGCGUUGUUCGGAAUUAUUGGGCGUAAAGGGUGCGUANGCGGUUUGGUAAGUCUGAUGUGAAAUCUAUGGGCUCAACUCAUA
rnacentral:rRNA from 1 species